rnacentral:sRNA from 1 species
UCCCCAAUCUAGCGGAGGUAAAGAAGAAAGGCAAAAUGAAGAAGCUCGGCCAAGCAAUGGAAGAAGACCUAAUCGUGGGACUGCAAGGGAUGGAGCUGAACCUUGAGGCUGAAGCACUGGCUGGCACUGGCUUGGUGUUGGAUGAGCAGCUAAAUGAAUUCCAUUGCCUCUGGGAUGACAGGUGAGGCUGGGUCCUCCAGGCUGUCUCCAAACCACAAAAAUACACACACUUAGAGCCCAUUAGCAAGAAUAAAUCUUUUCUUACCCCAGCCUGGAUACUGGAAGCAGAUGAUUUGGGGAGGUAGGGCUCACACUUGAAAGGGUUCUUUUAUGUAGCUAACAAACAUUUAUUGAGUGCCUAUUGUGUGCCAAGAGUUGGUGAUACAAAUGUACCAAACAACAGA